rnacentral:rRNA from 1 species
UACGAAGGGGGGCUAGCGUUGCUCGGAAUCACUGGGCGUAAAGGGUGCGUAGGCGGGUCUUUUAAGUCAGGGGGUGAAAUCCUGGAGCUCAACUCCAGAACUGCCUUUGAUACUGAGGAUCUUGAGUUCGGGAGAGGUGAGUGGAACUGCGAGUGUAGAGGUGAAAUUCGUAGAUAUUCGCAAGAACACCAGUGGCGAAGGCGGCUCACUGGCCCGAUACUGACGCUGAUGCACGAAAGCGUGGGGAUCAAACAGG